rnacentral:tRNA from 1 species
GGCUUGUUGGUCUAGGGGUAUGAUUCUCACUUAAGGUCUGAGAAGUCCUGGGUUCAAAGCUUGGACGAGUCC